GAUGAACGCUGGCGGCGUGCCUAAUACAUGCAAGUCGAACGCAUUGUGGUUGAAAUGAUAUGAAGAACUUGUUCAGAUUUGAUUUUCAACAUUGCAAUGAGUGGCGAACGGGUGAGUAACACGUGGGAAACCUACCUCUUAGCAGGGGAUAACAUUUGGAACAAAUGCUAAUACCGUAUAAUAUUAAAACCGCAUGGUUUUAGUUUAAAAGAUGGUCUUGCUAUCACUAAGAGAUGGUCCCGCGGUGUAUUAGUUAGUUGGUGAGGUAAUGGCUCACCAAGACAAUGAUACAUAGCCGAGUUGAGAGACUGACCGGCCACAAUGGGACUGAGACACGGCCCAUACUCCUACGGGAGGCAGCGAUAGGGAAUCUUCCACAAUGGACGAAAGUCCGAUGGAGCAACG
rnacentral:rRNA from 1 species